GGCCUAAUGGCUGAAGCACCAGGCUAGAAACUAGGAGACUGUGAGUUCAAGUCCCACUUUAGCCA
rnacentral:tRNA from 1 species